rnacentral:misc_RNA from 1 species
AAGUCGUAACAAGGUUUCCGUAGGUGAACCUGCGGAAGGAUCAUUAUUGAAUAUUCUUGAUAGGUUGUAGCUGGCUCUUUGGAGUAUGUGCACGCUUAUCUUGACUUUAUUCAUCCACCUGUGCACCUUUUGUAGUCUUGGGGAUUGAGAGCAGUCGACUAUCGGAUGGCCAAGGUCAUUCCGGAUUUGAGGAAUGCUGAGUGCAAAAGGCAUACAGCUCUUCUCUAAUGACUGUCCCUCGAGUACUAUGUAUUCAUAUACCACAUAGUAUGUUGUAGAAUGUGAUGAAUGGGUCUAUGUACCUAUAAUAAUCAUAUACAACUUUCAGCAACGGAUCUCUUGGCUCUC